rnacentral:sRNA from 1 species
ACAUCAACAGAAAGUGCGGAGGAAUCUCCCUCUGUUCAUAGACACCAUUCCUCCAAGCAUGCUCGAUCAAUCUCUAGCAGUACAAUUUGGGUUAGAUACCGCAGCGUUCGAUGUAUGUCUCUGGUCAGAUGUCAAAGGCAGCCCCUACGAGUCCGUGAAACGGUGCGGUCUAUUCACGGUCACUGCUCGUCUGUCUGGAGGGGACCAUUUAGCGUAGACGGGGGCUGAAGGCAUAGGACCUUUUUUUUUUUUCCUUUUCAACUUCAUCCGAAAAAAGAAAGAAAAAUGCAAAAGAAUCUUCAUGUCUGAGUUGUUUGUUAGUUAGAAGACUUCAUUUCAUGGC